GAUGAACGCUGGCGGCGUGCUUAACACAUGCAAGUCGAACGAAGCACUUUAUUUGAUUUCCUUCGGGACUGAUUAUUUUGUGACUGAGUGGCGGACGGGUGAGUAACGCGUGGGUAACCUGCCUUGUACAGGGGGAUAACAGUUGGAAACGGCUGCUAAUACCGCAUAAGCGCACAGCAUCGCAUGAUGCAGUGUGAAAAACUCCGGUGGUAUAAGAUGGACCCGCGUUGGAUUAGCUAGUUGGUGAGGUAACGGCCCACCAAGGCGACGAUCCAUAGCCGACCUGAGAGGGUGACCGGCCACAUUGGGACUGAGACACGGCCCAAACUCCUACGGGAGGCAGCAGUGGGGAAUAUUGCACAAUGGGCGAAAGCCUGAUGCAGCGACGCCGCGGGAGCGAAGAAGUAUUUCGGUAGGUAAAGCUCUAUCAGCAGGGAAGAUAAUGACGGUACCUGACUAAGAAGCACCGGCUAAAUACGU
rnacentral:rRNA from 1 species